rnacentral:lncRNA from 1 species
GGAGAACUAAAUUUCUUCUUGGGUCUUAAAGUCAAGUAAACUCCUCAGGGAACAAUGAUAAGUCAGCAAAAGUACAUCAAUGAGCUUCUGAAGAGAUUUGAGAUGGAGAGUUCAAAAAUCAUAGAUACACCUAUUGUCACUCGCCUUGAUAUGGAUGAACCUGGUUCUCCUGCAAACGAGACUAUGUAUAGAGGCAUUACUGAGUCACUUCUGUAUCUCACAGCAAGUAGACCAGACAUUGUUUUCAGUGUGGCACUUUAUGCCAGGUUUCAAUCCAAUCCAAAGGAGUCUCAUCUGAAGGCUGCAAAGAGAAUUCUGAGGUAUCUCAAAGGAACGCAAGACCUGCUUCUCUGCUAUCCCUCAAGAGAUAAUUUUGACUUGAUAGGUUAUGCUGAUGCUGACUAUGCUGGUUAUCUGGUGGAUAGGAAAAGCACUUAUGGUAUGGCACAUUUUCUGGGUUCGUGUCUAAUCUCAUGGGGCACAAGAAAACAAAACUCAGUGGCCCUUUCAACUGCUGAAGCUGAGUAUGUGACAGUUGCCUCUUGUUGUGCCCAACUGUUGUGGAUCAAGCAGCAGCUAGAAGAUUUCGGUGUAUUUUCUGAUUGUGUGCCCUUACUGUGUGACAAUACCAGUGCACUCAACAUGGCCAAGAAUCCAUUUCAACAUAAAAGAACAAAGCACAUCGAUGUGCAGUACCAUUUUCUCAGAGACAAUGUUGAAAAAGGGCUCAUCUGUAUGAAAUUUUGCAACACAGAAAAUCAAAUUGUAGACAUAUUCACCAAAGCACUGAGCAAAGAAUACUUUGAAAGGAAUCGCUUGGCGCUGGGGUUGAUAAAACCAAGUUAAGGACCUGGUCCCUCGAUGAUUGGCUAUGAAAGAAAUGUACAGGUAAAUUAGCUAAAAAGUGUUUUCUGGCAAAGUCUAACUCAUUUCUAUACAGUUACAAGUAGACACGCAUGAUGAUUAUAGAGCAAACAAGCAGUUAAUGCAUUGCACGUUGGUCAAAGGAUGAGGCUUACAUUUGCAAAAUCUGUCAGGGAACCUGGUUCCUCCGACACAGGUCAGUAGUUUCUCUGUACUCUCAUGCACAACUUUUUAAAUGGUUGAAACGGUGCCACGUCAUUACACUGUCAGUUUCUUUUCUUUCCCGAUUUGUGAAUCCAAACGUCUCGCCCGUUAUGAAGCGACCCGACUACCCAAAUUGCCACCUAUUCCUAACCGGUCCCUCACCCCUCUUAAAUACAUCCAUUCACACUCACUUUCACUACUGUUCACAUCAAAAAAUCCAAAAUUCCUCUUUUUCUUUCUUAAAAGCAAACUUUCUAUUCUUCAACUCACUGCACUCUACCAUGUCUGAACACCAGGAAAUACAAGAUGUUCCAAGUAUCGUCCCCACUGUGUCCUUACCUGUUGAAACGUCAGUGAUAGAACCCACACUUUCCACUCCGACCAGUCCAAACCCUAAGAGAGAGUCACAACCACCCUCUGCUUCCUGUCACACCUCCUUUUUCCCGCGGGGGUAGGGGAUAAGGGAGUUUUUUUAAUUUAAGUGACAUAAUUUAAAAUGGGAUUAUUUAUUUAUUCAGAGUCGCCACUUGGAAUAAUUUAUGGUAUACCAAGUCACCGGUUUGUUUUAAAAUCCUAGAUCGAGGAAAUUGACUCUAUUUUUAUGGUCUGCGAACACAGAAGACCGGGUAAGGAAUUCUGUUAAAACGGGAGAAGGUGUGAGGCACUCCCGAGUUUCGUGGUUUUAGCACAGUCGCUUAAUAAUUACACUUAGCUCGAUUAUCUGAUUAUUACAUAUUUUGAACCUAUGUGCAUUUUAUUCCUUUUGCCACUUUUAAUGUUUAUGGAAUUUAUUUGAACAAGUCGCAAUGUCGCGCACUCGUUUGUUUUUUUGUACACAUUGAGAAUCGUGCCACGUGAAACGCACCCGCGAUUUAUAACAUGUUUGUUUUUAUUAUUAUUUGAAGUUCUGGUCGAGUCACAUGAAACGCACACUCGAAUUGGGAUUUACGUAUCGCGACCAUGCCACGAGAACCGUACCCAUAAUCACGAUGAUUUAUUAUUAAUCGCGCCUAAAGCAAACUACGAUAUUCAUGAGUUAUUCAUUUGCUAAAAUUUAAGACUAUUUGGGAAUGUCCAAGAAUUAUAGAAUCCUUUAUGCACAUGAUUACUGGCGAAAUGACUUAUCUAACGAACUCUCUUUUAUUUUUUUAUUAUUGAUUAAUAAUUAAUAGAAGAGCAGAGAUGUUAUUAAUUGAAUAAAAAUCAAGCAACUAAAUAUAAAAAACAGAAGGCUGUCCAUUCGAGACCCAAAGCAAGUUCACAGAAAAGUCAUAUGGCCAUUAGCAAUUAAUUCUAAACUUAAUCAAACCGAACAUAACACUUAUUAGUUGCAUAAUUUAAUUCCAACUCUCCAAACAUCAAAAUAUGCAAAUCAAAAGACCAUGGACACAAAUAAAGCAUUUAACAAAGAAUACACGAUAUCACUAGUAAUGUUGAAGCAAUAAGGAAAAAGAAAACAAACCUUUUAUUAGCUUUCAAAGUAUACAAAGAAAGGCACGUUGAAGAAGCUAACAACGAACAGACCCGCUAACGAUAGACCACGUCGGAACCUCGAAACUCGCGGGGAAAAGAUCGUCGGAAAAUUCAACUCGAACCCGACCAAAACGUUGUUGUUUUGUGAGGAAAGAGGGUUGUUUUCUAGCUGUUUUUCAGCUGAAUUUGGAGCUUCAUUGGACUGGUUUUACUAGUGGUCUGAGGCUGGUUUCUAUGGUUAAAACAGUGAGGGUUAGGACGAGAGGGAAACAGUGGAGUGACGAAGGAAAAUGCUCAUCGGCAAACUGGUGGUCAGCUCCAGCAGCGGCGAUGGCAGCUAAAAGCGAGAAGUGUGCGAGAAAAAAAAAACAAAAGGAAAGAGCAGUGGGAGGAGGGGUGAGCAGCGGGGCUGGCCAUAGUUGCCGGUAUUUUUCGGCUACUCGUCGGCGAUGGAGAUCAAGAAGGGUGGUCGGCUUUUCCUUUUUCUCUGUUUCCUAAAAUCGACCCUCCUAUAUCUCUCGUGCUCUCUCUAUCUUCUCCUUUUCUUAGCCCCCAACUCUUUUUAUUUCUCUAUCUAUCCACACUCUAUUUUUGUUUGUUUCCCCACCCCUGCUUUCCCCGUUCUUUUUUUUC